CGUACGAAAGCUUUUUGCUUAAGUGGCGGACGGGUGAGUAACACGUAAGAAUUUACCUUUAGGAGGGGGACAACAGCUGGAAACGGUUGCUAAUACCCCAUAUGCUUUCGAGUGGAAUGGAAUUUUCCGCCUAGAGAGAAGCUUGCGGCUGAUUAGCUUGUUGGUGAGGUAAUGGCUUACCAAGGCGACGAUCAGUAUCUGGUUUGAGAGGACGAUCAGACACACUGGAACUGAGACACGGUCCAGACUCCUACGGGAGGCAGCAGUAGGGAAUUUUCCGCAAUGGGCGAAAGCCUGACGGAGCAAUCUCGCGUGAGGGAUGAGGGCCUAUGGGUUGUAAACCUCUUUUUUCAGGGAGGAAUAAUUGACGUGUACCUGAAGAAUAAGCAUCGGCUAACUCCGUGCCAGCAGCCGCGGUAAGACGGAGGAUGCAAGUGUUAUCCGGAAUCACUGGGCGUAAAGCGUCUGUAGGUGGUUUAAUAAGUCAACUGUUAAAUCUUGAGGCUCAACCUCAAAAUCGCAGUCGAAACUAUUAGACUAGAGUAUAGUAGGGGUAAAGGGAAUUUCCAGUGGAGCGGUGAAAUGCGUAGAUAUUGGAAGGAACACCGAUGGCGAAGGCACUUUACUGGGCUAUUACUAACACUCAGAGACGAAAGCUAGGGUAGCAAAUGGGAUUAGAUACCCCAGUAGUCCUAGCUGUAAACAAUGAAUACUAGAUGUUGAACAGAUCGACCUGUGCAGUAUCAAAGCUAACGCGUUGAGUAUCCCGCCUGGGAAGUAUGCUCGCAAGAGUGAAACUCAAAGG
rnacentral:rRNA from 1 species